rnacentral:rRNA from 1 species
GACGAACGCUGGCGGCGUGCUUAACACAUGCAAGUCGAACGGAAAGGCCCUGCUUUUGUGGGGUGCUCGAGUGGCGAACGGGUGAGUAACACGUGAGUAACCUGCCCUUGACUUUGGGAUAACUUCAGGAAACUGGGGCUAAUACCGGAUAGGAGCUCCUGCUGCAUGGUGGGGGUUGGAAAGUUUCGGCGGUUGGGGAUGGACUCGCGGCUUACCAGCUUGUUGGUGGGGUAGGUGCUUACCAAGGCUAUGACGGGUAGCCGGCCGGAGAGGGGGACCGGCGACCCUGGAGGUGAGAGGCGGUCCAGGCGACUACGGGAGGCAGCAGUGGGGAAGGUUGGGCAAUGGGCGCAAGCCUGAUCCAGCCAUCGCGCGUGGGUGAAGAAGGCCUUCGGGUUGUAAAGCCCUUUUGUUGGGGAAGAAAAGCUGCAGGAUGAUACCCCGCUGGUGUGACGGUACCGGAAGAAGAAGCACCGGCUAACUACGUG